CCUACGGGAGGCAGCAGUGAGGAAUAUUGGUCAAUGGGCGGAAGCCUGAACCAGCCAAGUAGCGUGCAGGAUGACGGCCCUACGGGUUGUAAACUGCUUUUAUACGGGAAUAACGCGCCUUACGUGUAGGGCUUUGCAUGUACCGUAUGAAUAAGGACCGGCUAAUUCCGUGCCAGCAGCCGCGGUAAUACGGAAGGUCCGGGCGUUAUCCGGAUUUAUUGGGUUUAAAGGGGGCGGAGGCCGGAUGGCAAGCGUGCUGUGAAAUGUCCGGGCUCAACCCCGGCCUUGCAGUGCAAACUGGCGUGCUUGAGUCCGCGGAAAGCAGGCGGAAUGCGUCGUGUAGCGGUGAAAUGCUUAGAUAUGACGAAGAACCCCGAUUGCGAAGGCAGCAUGCUGCAGCGGAACUGACGCUGAUGCUCGAAAGCGCGGGUAUCGAACAGGAUUAGAUACCCUUGUAGUC
rnacentral:rRNA from 1 species